UACGUAGGGUGCAAGCGUUAAUCGGAAUUACUGGGCGUAAGCGUGCGCAGGCGGUUAUGUAAGACAGAUGUGAAAAUGCCCGGCUUAACCUGGGACUGCAUUUGUGACUGCACGGGCUAGAGUGUGUCAGAGGGUAGAAAUUUCACGUGUAGCAGUGAAAUGCGUAGAGAUGUGGGAGGGAAAUACCCGAUGGGCGAAAGGGCAGCCCUGGGAUAAACGACUGACG
rnacentral:rRNA from 1 species